UAGGGAAUCUUCCGCAAUGGACGCAAGUCUGACGGAGCAACGCCGCGUGAGUGAAGAAGGAUUUCGGUUCGUAAAACUCUGUUGUUAGAGAAGAACAGCGCAUAGAGUAACUGUUAUGCGUGUGACGGUAUCUAACCAGAAAGCCACGGCUAACUACGUGCCAGCAGCCGCGGUAAUACGUAGGUCCCGAGCGUUGUCCGGAUUUAUUGGGCGUAAAGCGAGCGCAGGCGGUUAGAUAAGUCUGAAGUUAAAGGCAGUGGCUCAACCAUUGUAGGCUUUGGAAACUGUUUAACUUGAGUGCAGAAGGGGUGAGUGGAAUUCCAUGUGUAGCGGUGAAAUGCGUAGUUAUAUGGAGGAACACCGGUGGCGAAAGCGGCUCUCUGGUCUGUAACUGACGCUGAGGCUCGAAAGCGUGGGGAGCGAACAGG
rnacentral:rRNA from 1 species